UUGAUUUUAAUUAUUUGUGAAUAGGUACUACUAAUUAACAACAAUUCUACAAUCAAAACAAAAAAAAUCA
rnacentral:misc_RNA from 1 species